rnacentral:tRNA from 1 species
GCACCCGUAGCUCAGCUGGAUAGAGCGCUGGCUUGCGGAGCCAGAGGUCGUAAGUUCGAAUCUUGCCGGGUGUA